GUUUCUUUUUCAUUCCUAGAAGAUGAAGAAAUGAUGACAUCCCAAACCUCAUAAUUUGUCUAUACUUCCACUCAGGCACUUCUGCACAGUAUCUAAAUAUUUAUGUUUCUUUGUCAAAUGACAGUACCAAGAAUGUUUCUGUAAUAUUUAUGAGAACACAGGAGUUGCUAAGAGAAGAGUCUUUGCAAGAAGGGACGUGAGAAAAGCUGGGAAGAAAGAUUGAACCCACAGUUUACAAAGGUUUCAAACAUCUAGGAGAUUAUCCUCAUACGGGUCACUGCUGGACAUAGAACUUUGGAAUGGGAAGAAACUUCCAGAGUUCUGUCUUCUUCCAGAUGAUCAGAAUACAGCGAGAAACAGGCCCAAGACUGAACCCCUGGUGUUCGGCGUCAUUGGCAGUCAGUGUUUACUUCUCCCCAAAAGGUGCAAUGCCUCCCUUAUGAAGAAGCCAAAGAAACAGUCAUCUACA